rnacentral:misc_RNA from 1 species
AUGGCGGGUACCAAAUCCGUCGCAAAUGUUGUGCAGAUAAAACCUGUCGAGGUCUCCCAGCAGCUUCAAGACGGUGAAAAAUUCGUAAAAUGGGACGAGGAUUCGGGAGUUGGUACACCAGUUACGCUGCGGGUGGAUAAAUAUGGCUUUUAUCUUCAUUGGGUAGAUCAAAAUAAUGAAAUGGACAUGCUUGAUAUUUCUACAAUACGGGAUACACGGACUGGAAAAUAUGCUAAGAUACCCAAAGAUCCAAAGUUGAAAUCUCUGGUAACGAUGGGCUCGCAAGACAGCCUGGAGGAAAAAACUGUAACUGUGUGUUACGGUUCGGACUUUGUCAAUGUGACGUUUAUUAAUUUUUGUACCACGCGAGCUGAAAUUGCAAGACAUUGGACUGAGCAGUUACUGAAACUGGCAUACAACUUGGCACAACUAAAUUCUAGUACAAUAAUGUUCUUACAAAAAGCGUACACAAAACUCUCUUUAACUGCUGACAAGUCUGGGAAAGUUGCGAUCAAAAACAUAAUAAAAAUGUUCACACAAAACAAGGAGGACCGUAAACGUGUUGAAAAAGCACUCGAUAUUUCGGGCAUGCCAACAGGCAAGAAUGACGCUAUAUCUUUGCAAAAGUUUCAAUUUGAAGAUUUUUUCAAUUUUUAUAAGUCUUUAACUCAACGGACUGAAGUUGAAAAAGUAUUCGACCAUAUUGUGGGUACUUCAAAGCGUAAAUUAAUGUCGGCGGCACAGCUCGUGGAAUUUUUGAACAAAACCCAACGAGAUCCUCGCUUGAAUGAGAUCUUGUAUCCUUAUGCAAACACAGCACGAGCAAAAGACCUCAUCAACGAGUACGAACCCAGCAAGUGCAAUGCUGGGAGAGGACAACUUAGUUUUGAUGGUUUUCUCAGAUACUUAAUGAGUGAGGAUAAUCCCAUAAUGGCUGUUUCGAAACUCGACCUCUCCGAUGAUAUGGACCAGCCUCUGGCGCACUAUUUUAUCAAUUCGAGCCAUAACACUUAUCUGACUGGGCAUCAACUGACUGGAAAAAGUUCGGUUGAAAUCUAUCGGCAAUGUUUACUGGCUGGGUGUCGCUGUGUGGAAUUAGAUUUUUGGAAUGGCCGAUUUGACGAACCUAUGAUUGUUCACGGAUACACAUUUGUGCCUGAGAUAUAUGCUCGCGAUGUGAUCGAGGCGAUAGCCGAGAGUGCCUUUAAAACCUCGGAAUAUCCAGUUGUCCUCAGUUUCGAGAACCAUUGUAAUCCAAGACAACAGGCUAAAAUUGCACAAUAUUGCCGAGAAUACUUCGGUGAUAUGCUACUUGAUGCACCGCUCGAAUCUCACAAGCUGGAGCCUGGUCAAGAACUUCCACCACCUUCGUCACUGAAGCGAAAAAUAAUAAUAAAAAAUAAAAAAAAGCAUCACCAUCACCACCAUCACAAAAAACACCACAAGAAGCAACAAGCUCAAUCACAGGAUUCUGGCGAGGGCUCACAGGAGACAGAUGAUAAUGUGUCUGUAAAUAACGGUGGAGCAGAAGGUGAAAGCGAACCACCGCCUGACAUCAUUCCACAAAACGAAGUGGUUGAUGGAGUUGUUGUAGCAGUUGCUGCAGUCGAUCAGCAAAUGGAAAAUGGUGACCUUCCUCGUGCUCCAAUGCUGCAACAGAGACAAGGGAGUAAGGAUAGCACCCAAGACGACGAUGACGAAGAUGAAGAAUCUUCUACUGAUGAAGAAGAGUCCAAUGUUGAGGACAUAAAAUUGAGAAUAGGUGACAAGAUCCCUGUGCCAGAUAAGGUGGCAACAGCUGCUACUGCAAAAGAAACUGAGGCAGGAGCAGAAAUAUCUGCACUUGUGAAUUAUGUGCAACCCGUACACUUUAGUAGCUUUGAAAAUGCUGAGAAAAAAAAUCGCAUGUACGAAAUGUCAUCAUUCGAUGAGAAACAAGCAACAACGCUAUUGAAAGAACGACCGUUAGAGUUCGUAAAUUACAACAAACAUCAGCUCUCUAGAGUGUAUCCUGCAGGGACCAGGUUUGAUUCUAGCAAUUUCAUGCCCCAAGUAUUUUGGAAUGCUGGCUGUCAACUGGUUGCAUUGAAUUAUCAAACCUUAGAUCUUGCCAUGCAACUCAACUUGGGAAUUUUCGAGUACAACCAUCGUUGCGGAUUUCUCUUAAAACCGGAGUUUAUGAGGCGAAAAGACCGGCGAUUAGAUCCGUUUGCUGAGUCCACCGUCGAUGGCAUUAUAGCCGGAACGGUACACAUACACGUAAUUUCGGCACAGUUUCUAACGGACAAGAGGGUAGGCACUUACGUUGAAGUAGACAUGUACGGCUUACCAGCAGACACUGUGCGGAAGAAGUUUAGGACCAAAAUCGUACCGAAUAAUGGAAUCAACCCCGUGUAUGAUGAGGAACCGUUUGUGUUCAAAAAGGUUGUUUUGCCAGAACUUGCAUCAAUUCGAAUAGCUGCGUACGAAGAAUCAGGUCGGUUGAUCGGACAUCGAGUGCUUCCCGUGGUUGGUCUUUGUCCAGGAUAUAGGCACGUUGCAAUCCGAACCGAAUGCGGGCAACCACUGCCUUUGGCUAGCCUCUUCCUGCAUGUUAUUGUCAAAGACUAUGUUCCCGACGGCCUCUGUGACUUUGCCGAAGCCUUGGCUAAUCCGAUUAAAUACCAAAGUGAGUUGGAAAAAAGGACAAAUCAGUUGUCGGUGUUCACGGACGACCUUGAAGAACCUACGGAAGGUGAUGUGGAGGAUAAGGAUAAAGUUGGCAUGGGAGCAAGUAUCUCCAAACCAACAGAUGAAAUUGCAAAAGCAAAACGCCUACAAUCCGCUGGAGAAUUACCCGGAUCAUUACCCUUAUCCGGCAGUCCACACGGCCGACCAUCCAUAGCGGGAAUUUUAAAUUCACCUGAGGUUCAAGAACUAGAGGACAGUCUUGUUACACCUGCAUUACUACCAACGGAUACUUCGGUGACUAAGAGCCCUGUGAACAUGAGUACUGUAAAUGACGAGAUAAUAGCUGAAUCAUUCGAAAAGUUAAUGGAAAACAAAUUGAUUAAAGACAAGAAAAUGGAGUUGGACAAAAAGCUGGAAUCUUUGAGGAAAAAACACGAAAAGGAAAAAAUGAGAUUGCAGUCACAGAAAGGAUCGCUCGAUGGUGAAAAGCACAAGUCAAAGUUUUACAUGAGCCAAAAGCUUGUCAAGCGACUGUCAAGUAAGAAUAUAUUCUCAAGUGAAGUGGGUUUGAGCACACAGCUGCUUGCUGAAACUUCUGAAUGUUCUGAGAUAGAGUCGCGCGAUGGUGUCGAAGGCAUCCCACGGGGAUUACCAAGGAGUCAGAGUGAAAGGUUGCUCACUGUUUGCAAAGAGCAUGUCUUACAAGAGCAAGAACUCCAAGAAAAAUAUCAUGAAAGUCUAUUUUCCACGUUAGAGAAAAUCAUGAAAACUUCCCAAUCUAAUCAACUGAAAACGCUCAAAGAAAAUCGACAGAGAGAACGCGAUGAUGCAAUGCGGAAAUUGCAGGCUAAAAGACACGAUCAGGUCAAGCAGCUUGCCAAGGUACAUAAGGAUAAAGGUGAACUGGAUAGGGUAAAACGAGAACUGGCGAAAUCUACAGUUGAGAAAGGUGUUAACGAAUGUACUAAACUUAAAGAAAUUUAUGAGAAAAAACGGGCAGAACUCGAAAGACAACACGAAGAAGUCAGACAGAGGCUUGAGGAAGAGAGAGCUAAGGUGAAAGCAGCACUGCAAGCAGAGUACAGUAGUCGUUAUAGCAAAUUUGAGAGUGUUGAGUUCACUUUAUCACCAACUGGCGCUAGCAGUAUCCCUGAAUCCCUAAGUGGAAACACUAAUUAAUGCUUUAGAACAUGGCAGCCAGAAUAACUCGUAGGCCUUGAAACUCACUUGCCGUGUUUAGACUAUCAGACGAUCUCCUGGUCUGAAGUUUUCUGUGUUUUGGGGACCUCGAUAGGCGUGCAGUUCAACACACUGAGAUGAAGCACCUCAAACCCUAUGCUUUUGACCAAAGUUUCGAGCAUUUGAAGCGGCUGGUUCUUGGAAUGUAAAAC